CCCAACAUUUCUGCAUAUCCAAAAAAUUCUCUUCUUUCGUUUGAGUUUCAUACUUUUCUAUUUGCAAAGCGAGGGGCGAAGAUGAUCGAGGUAGUGCUCAACGAUCGUCUCGGGAAGAAGGUCCGCGUGAAGUGUAACGAAGACGAUACGAUCGGCGACUUGAAGAAGCUCGUGGCCGCUCAGACCGGAACCAGAGCCGAGAAAAUCAGGAUUCAGAAGUGGUACAACAUCUACAAAGAUCAUAUCACUCUCAAGGAUUACGAGAUUCAUGACGGCAUGGGGCUGGAACUCUAUUACAAUUGAUUCUGAAUCGCUGUGAGUUUUUUACUGCUUUUUAUGGUUCUUGCUGUGUUUGGUGGCGUUUUGGUGUUUCCUUGUUUCGUCGGGAUUCGAUUUCUAGAACGUUUUGUUUAGUUUUUCUUGGAUUUUAGGGUUCGUUUGACGCAGCGAUUAAGAGGCAGGCGCGUGUUUUUAGAGUUUGUAAGGAUUCAGUUCUGUCUGUCCCUAAUACGAGCGAUCGGAUAUUAAUUUUCGAUGGAUGUGGUUCGGUGGACAUCGCAGAUUGUAAACCGCACUUCGAAGCCUUUGUUAAAUAGGGAUCCCGUUCUCUUUCCUUUUUCUAUUUUGGAGAUUUAUUUACGGUCCAUUGAAAUAUCAAAUCGGUUGCUAGUUUUGAAAUCAUGGUAUUUCUUCUGAUGUAUGGGUGUUUUCUCUCUCCGAGGUUUGGAAAUCCUUUGGAAAACGCGUAUUGGGAGCGCUCAAUGUGAGUCUUAUAUUUGCUGAACAAGCGCUACGGUCAAUAUUUUGAUAUCUACAACCUGUGUGUGGAAUUGUCUACCGUGUGGAUGACAGCGCGUCCUCAAGUAUCGGAAGUUUCUUUCUAAGGGAGUGUUUAGUUUUAGAAACCUACUUAUUAGUAAACAAAUCUUUGUUGUGCUUAUCUGAAUUCUCUGUUAAUUGACUCCUUAUUAUAGGGGGCUUUCAUCCUUUUCCCACCGUAUUCUCCAGCUCUUUAAAUGAGCCAGAAAUUUUAUUUUGAAGUUGAUGCAUAGCUGUGUAGCUAUGCCUUGUGCUGCGUUGUCCUUUUGGUUUUUUGCUUAUAAGGGUGCCAGAAUCACGCAUUAAUUUCCAUUCCAAGCACAGAUGGUACAGUAUUCUCUUCGUUUUAAUACCAGAUGAGGAAGGAAUUAGGAAGUAUCUGUGUUCCAUGUUGAAAAACUGCCACCAUCCUUGAACUUGAUCUAAAUAUUCUUUUAAUUGAAAAAUCAAUGUUUGAUCCAGUAUCCUUGUCAUUAUUUAAAUUCAUAUAAUAGUUUAGUUGUGUUAUGGUUACUAAUAGGAAUGUAACAGUUUCGAAGUAAAUUGGAAUCCUGAGUGGAGACCACCAAGUUAAUCUUGGUAUUUUUUUCUCUUGCUUCUCUCAAAACCAUUCUUGAAACAAUUCUUAAAAAUGUUAUCCACAGUGCCGGAGGGGUUGAAGGUGAAAUUCUUGUCUUAUUGACAAUAAAUGGGAUUAACCUUCCUCAUAAAUUUGUUAUUGAUGAAAGAAGAGGUGUUUUCUAUGUUAAGGGAAUUUCCCCUUUUUUUUUUGAUCCAUAGCUUUUUUCCCUAGCAUUGUAAAUAAUGAUAUGGAAUUUUAUUGUUCCCUUCUUUCUUACUCAUGUUAGAUACUAUCUAUCAUCUAUCUGUCAUCUGAUAGGAGUCGUAUUGGUGCAUCUCCCAAGGUGUGAAGGAAAACUUUUUUGAGCCUCAUUGUUUAGAUUGAUGGAAUUUGAGAAUUGAGCUGGGAGCCCGGUUUGUGGUUUUGGUGAGGAGGAUGACAUGAUAAAAGAGUUGAUGAAAUGAAGGAUUCGUGGUGUUUUAGGUGUCUUGUGGCAUUGUGCAAGCAUUGCUUCACUAAGAUGCAGUAUCUGCCUAAAGCACAUACCAAAUUUGGUGCGUCUCCCAAGGUGUGAAGGAAAUUUUUUUUCAGCCUCAUUGUUUAUAAGUCGAUGGGGGCAUAUAAUUAUUAGAUUGAUGGAAUUUGAGAAUCAAGCCGGGAGCCCGGUUUGUGGUUUUGGUGGGGAGGAUGACAUGAUAAAAGAGUAAUGUUCUGCUCUUUGGUUGUCUAGUUAUCAAAUCCUACUCCAAUGCUGUUUCUCUACCAUACUAUUUUUUACUCAGGUUGAUGAUUUCAAAAGUGAAGGAUCCGUGGUGUUUUAGGUGUCUUGUGGCAUUGUGCAAGAGCAUUGCUUAGCUUCCCUCAGUAAGAUGCAGUAUCUGCCUAAAGCACAUACCAAAUUUAGUUUUGGAUCAACCAUUUCCAAGAUUCGGUUCAAACCAACAAAAAAUACGGACAUUGUUGUUAUAGAAUUACCUUGUCAAGAAUUUCCUUUUGUGUGAUUUGGAGUUGUGGUAGCUUUCUGGAUCAAGAUUGCGCCAGAUUCUAUUGCUGUCAAAUUAUACUCAAAUUACCUUAGGAUGUGAAUAUAGUUGAUCAAAUGUUUGAAUAUGUGAAACGUGAGGUGGGCGGGAACUAAUUUACAGUCUUGGAAUAUAAAGUGGGUGACACCAAGCAUAAUAUUAGUAUAGUAUUGAUGCUUGACGAUGUGAAUUACCAUGUUUAAUCCUACAUAUUAUAUGUCAAAAAUAUUUGAAUUAUUGAUUGUUUGUUCUGAAACUUUCAAUUA